UACGUAGGGGGCGAGCGUUGUCCGGAUUCAUUGGGCGUAAAGAGCUCGUAGGCGGCUUGGCAAGUCGGGUGUGAAACUCCAGGCUCAACCUGGAGACGCCACCCGGGACUGCUAUGGCUAGAGUCCGGAUAGGGAUCAGCGGAAUUCCGGUGUAGCGGUGAAAUGCGCAGAUAUCAGGAGGAACACCAAUUGCGAAGGCAGCUCGCUGGGACGUAACUGACGCUGAGACGCGAAAGCUAGGGGAGCGAACAGG
rnacentral:rRNA from 1 species